rnacentral:lncRNA from 1 species
GGCAUUCAUGACCAUAAGGUGCCUGAUGCACACUGGGUACAUGGGACAUCAGAGGGGGUAGGGGGUGAGCAGGAAAGUGGAGACAGCAGUGAGAAAAGCAUCUUCCCUCUCCCCAGGAGUUUGUCCCCUAGGAACUGAGGAGCUGUCCUGAAUACUCCAGAGGCAGGAACUUGGAAGUUCAAGGCAGAGGGAAUUCAAGAAGGGAGUGGUGGUGCUCAGUGGCAUCAGAUAGUAUUACACAACUACAUCUAUAUAAACACUUAUUAGGAAGUUGAUGAAGCUAUCAGCAUGACUGGAGACAGAUUGGGUGCCCUGGGUCUCCUAAAUUAUAACAAAUUAUGUCAAAGAAAGAGAUUCAUUUGACCCAAAUCAUCAGGUGCCCUGAGCUCUGAGAGACCUGGUCUGGAGAUCACUUGAACCUUAAGCCCCUGAGCUUCUCAGAGAUCACUUAGAACCUGUGGGCUGUGUGUUCUCCUAAGGGUCCGGCAGCAGAGCUGGGGGAGCUGGUAGUGGGAGAAGGUGAAGAGAACAGACUCACUUCUGGCAGUAGGAGAGGGGCGAUGGAGAGAUGAGCACCAGUUGCUUCAUGGAGCAGGUCAUCCAGGCAGAGGACUGCCUGAAAUCUUCGGUUCUGAGCUUAUUGCUGAAAGGUAAUCUCUACUUGAGAAAAUGUUAUACCCAGACAAGAAAUAUUUCUUCUUUCCUUUUAUUGAUCUGAUAAGUCCUCCCCAGGCAGGGUGAAGAACAAUGAAGCAAAACAACAAAGGCAGCAAUUAUGAAAAUUAAUAUCUUCAACACUCUGCUUACCCUUAUUUGCCUUUUGAAAAACAUCUGCCUACAGUGUUUCUUUUCACUUAUUGUGGGCAUGUCUGAUCAAUGUUUUGCAUGUCAUGCAAACAAUUUGGUUAACUGAAAACUCACAAAUUAUAAUUUCCUCUUUUGAUAAUUGUUGUCAAAAUGCAUGUCAGAGGUGAAAUCCUGAAGUUGUGCAAGUUCCUCCUCACUUCCUUUAUAGAUUCGUCUUUCAUUGAGGAAGCCAGGGAAAAAAUGG